rnacentral:rRNA from 1 species
AUUGAACGCUGGCGGCAGGCCUAACACAUGCAAGUCGAACGAGUGGCGGACGGGUGAGUAAUGUCUGGGAAACUGCCUGAUGGAGGGGGAUAACUACUGGAAACGGUAGCUAAUACCGCAUACCAUCGGAUGUGCCCAGAUGGGAUUAGCUUGUAGGGGAGGUAACGGCUCCCCUAGGCGACGCUCCCUAGCUGGUCUGAGAGGAUGACCAGCCAAACUGGAACUGAGACACGGUCCAGAGGCCUACGGGAGGCAGAAGUGGGGAAGAUUGGACAAUGGGCGCAAGCCUGAGGCAGCCCUGCCGCGUGUAUGAAGAAGGCCUUCGGGUUGUAAAGUACUUUCAGCGGGGAGGCGUUACCCGCAGAUGAAGCACCGGCUAACUCCGUGCCAGCAGCCGCGGUAAUAC